UUUUUUGUAUACGGGUAUAUUUCUCUCGGGACAGAGUGGUGACGGGACCUGCCAGAACACCCAUUCUAACAGGUUGACCUCGGAUCAGGUAGGGAUACCCGCUGAACUUAAGCAUAUCAAUAAGCGGAGGAAAAGAAACCAACAGGGAUUACCUCAGUAACGGCGAGUGAAGCGGUAACAGCUCAAAUUUGAAAUCUGGCUCCUUUGGGGCCCGAGUUGUAAUUUGGAGAAGAUGCUUUGGGUAUGGGCCUGGCCUAAGUUCCUUGGAACAGGACGUCGUAGAGGGUGAGAAUCCCGUAUGCGGCUGGUGCCUGUACCCGUGUAAAGCUCUUUCGACGAGUCGAGUUGUUUGGGAAUGCAGCUCUAAAUGGGUGGUAAAUUUCAUCUAAAGCUAAAUAUGGGCCGGAGACCGAUAGCGCACAAGUAGAGUGAUCGAAAGAUGAAAAGCACUUUGGAAAGAGAGUUAAACAGUACGUGAAAUUGUUGAAAGGGAAGCGCUGGCAACCAGACUUGGGCACUGCUGAUCCGUCGGGGUUCUCCCCGGGGCACUCAGCAGCGCGCAGGCCAGCAUCGGUUUGGGUGGUUGGAGAAAGGCGAGAGGAAUGUAGCUGUCUCUCGGGGCAGUGUUAUAGCCUCUCGCGUCAUGCAGCCUACCCGGACCGAGGACCGCGCUUCGGCUAGGAUGCUGGCGUAAUGGUUGUCAGCGACCCGUCUUGAAACACGGACCAAGGAGUCUAACAUCUAUGCGAGUGUUUGGGUGUCAAACCCAUGCGCGGAAUGAAAGUGAACGCAGGUGAGAACCCGUUAGGGUGCAUCAUCGACCGAUCCGGAUGUCUUCGGAUGGAUUUGAGUAAGAGCAUAGCUGUUGGGACCCGAAAGAUGGUGAACUAUGCCUGAAUAGGGUGAAGCCAGAGGAAACUCUGGUGGAGGCUCGCAGCGGUUCUGACGUGCAAAUCGAUCGUCAAAUUUGGGUAUAGGGGCGAAAGACUAAUCGAACCAUCUAGUAACUGGUUCCUGCCGAGUCUCCCC
rnacentral:rRNA from 1 species